UACGUAGGGGGCAAGCGUUGUCCGGAUUUAUUGGGCGUAAAGAGCGUGUAGGCGGCCUGGAAGGUCAGCUGUGAAAACUCGAGGCUCAACCUCGAGACGUCGGUUGAAACCACCUGGCUAGAGUCCGGAAGAGGCGAGUGGAAUUCCUGGUGUAGCGGUGAAAUGCGCAGAUAUCGGGAAGAACACCCGUGGCGAAGGCGGCUCUCUGGGACGGUACUGACGCUGAGACGCGAAAGCGUGGGGAGCGAACAGG
rnacentral:rRNA from 1 species